rnacentral:rRNA from 1 species
UACAGAGGUCCCAAGCGUUGUUCGGAUUCACUGGGCGUAAAGGGUGCGUAGGCGGUCGGGUAAGUCUGAUGUGAAAUCUCACAGCUUAACUGUGAAACUGCAUUGGAUACUAUCCGGCUCGAGGAAUGGAGGGGAGACUGGAAUACUUGGUGUAGCAGUGAAAUGCGCAGAUAUCGGGAGGAACACCAGUAGCGAAGGCGGCACUCUGGGCCGUGACUGACGCUGAGGAGCGAAAGCGUGGGUAGCAAACAGG